rnacentral:ribozyme from 12 species
ACUAGAAACUGGCACCGAAGAAACCAAUUCUAUUUGUUUCCUUUCUUUCGUUAUUUGGGUUGUUUGUUAUUUGUUUCCUUUCUUUCGUUGUUUGGGUUGUUUGGCAAAAGAC